AUUGCACGCUGGCGGCAGGCUUAACACAUGCAAGUCGAGCGGAGAUGAGGUGCUUGCACCUUAUCUUAGCGGCGGACGGGUGAGUAAUGCUUAGGAAUCUGCCUAUUAGGGGGGGACGACAUUCCGAAAGGAAUGCUAAUACCGCAUACGUCCUACGGGAGAAAGCAGGGGAUCUUCGGACCUUGCGCUAAUAGAUGAGCCUAAGUCGGAUUAGCUAGUUGGUGGGGUAAAGGCCUACCAAGGCGACGAUCGGUAGCGGGUCUGAGAGGAUGAUCCGCCACACUGGGACUGAGACACGGCCCAGACUCCUACGGGAGGCAGCAGUGGGGAAUAUUGGACAAUGGGGGGAACCCUGAUCCAGCCAUGCCGCGUGUGUGAAGAAGGCCUUAUGGUUGUAAAGCACUUUAAGCGAGGAGGAGGCUACUGAGACUAAUACUCUUGGAUAGUGGACGUUACUCGCAGAAUAAGCACCGGCUAACUCUGUGCCAGCCGCCGCAGUAA
rnacentral:rRNA from 1 species